rnacentral:lncRNA from 1 species
GUGCUUCCAUGUUUAUUGAUCCAUAGUUAACAAUUUCAGUACUCAAGAGGCAUUUGUGACAUGGGCUACAGUUAUAACUUAUAAUGCCACUGUCAUCUCCAAGACUAGCUCCAAAGUUUUAAUAAGGUGUUCUAGCUAUCUAAAUCAUCCAGCAUGUGCGUCAAAAAUGGAGACACGCACCUAUACCCUUGCCGAUUCAAUAAUAUCUUAUAAGAUUCAACCGAACUAGGAUCUACUGAAACUGGGAACUUAUUGUAGUGUCCUUACCAGAAUAAAAUUUAAAAUAUCCAUGGUUCUAGACUUCUAGUCCAACUUUUUAAUCUGCUGCUCUAUAUUUAUCUGUGCUGACUACACUGCAAAGACAGAAAAAGGGCCAAGCUUUUGACGUGAUACUGCUUUUAUGCCAGCUCUACAUUGUGUAGUGAAUUCCUGAGCAAGAACCUCGCUAUGUCAUGCCUGCAUGUGUGCCCAGGGAAGAGGGCAAGCUUCUGCAACCAAAGAAGCACCGCAAAUGAGGAGAGAACUUGCUACAGGAGAGGGCACAACGGCUUUACCGCAACACAAAAUUAAUAUUUUCAGGUACAAGAAGAUUAGAUGCCAGGAAAUCAACAUCUUGGUUACCAUAAACAGUUUCAGCAAUGGUGAAAAGCAGCUCCAACCCCUUUGAGGCACCACUGCACUGCACCGCAUGGUGUUUCUGGAACAGAUCAACAAUGGCAAGAGUCAAGAGAGCAGUAGCCAAGCGAAGAAGCUUAUAUAAGUUUUUGAAUCCUAUAGAAUGAACAACAUUUCUGCAUUAGGUAUGACCUGUUAGUUUUCCUCAAUGAUGACCACCGCCCACCAGCCGGAAAACUAGUUUGGAACAGAGCAACAAAAAUACCACAGAAGAAUGGAUUCGGUAGUGUAAAGUGGAAUAUCACUCUUCAAUUUUCCUUGGACCUGUGAUGAGGCAAAACCAUGAAAGUGAGCAAGACAGAUAUAACAGAGAAAGUACUUCCUCUGAGCUAGUAUCAGACUGAAAAACUGAUAGAACUUCCUUAAGUAAAAUUACCCCCUCCCUCCCCACCCACCACCAC